AGGCUUUGAUCCUGGCUCAGAUUGAACGCUAGCGGCAUGCCUUACACAUGCAAGUCGAACGGCAGCGGGCUCUUCGGAGCGCCGGCGAGUGGCGAACGGGUGAGUAAUACAUCGGAACGUACCCAGUAGCGGGGGAUAGCCCGGCGAAAGCCGGAUUAAUACCGCAUACGCCCUACGGGGGAAAGGGGGGGAUCGCAAGACCUCUCACUAUUGGAGCGGCCGAUGGCUGAUUAGCUAGUUGGUGGGGUAAAGGCCUACCAAGGCGACGAUCAGUAGCUGGUCUGAGAGGACGACCAGCCACACUGGGACUGAGACACGGCCCAGACUCCUACGGGAGGCAGCAGUGGGGAAUUUUGGACAAUGGGCGAAAGCCUGAUCCAGCAAUGCCGCGUGUGCGAAGAAGGCCUUCGGGUUGUAAAGCACUUUUGUCAGGAAAGAAAUUGUCUGGGCUAAUACCCCGGGCCGUUGACGGUACCUGAAUGAAUAAGCACCGGCUAAA
rnacentral:rRNA from 1 species